CUCUAACUUUUCGGAUAGGUUUACAGAAUAUAGUUACAUAUUUCUUUUCGCCAUUUUAUGUUAAUUAAGCAUUUUGAUUCAGUAAAUGUGUUUUUCUAUUCAUCCGAGUAUUUAGUUGCUUUUUCAGCUUUUGUUGGAGUGUGACUACUCUCGAAAUAUCUGUCUUCCAAUAUUGAGCCAGGUUUUACCAAAUGACCAGAAGCCACGCCACAUGGAACUGGGAUUUUGAUUCAGAGAAAAAUAUGCAUAAUCCUAUGGACGAUGUGUCGUAAUAGGACUGGAAUUUUGGAACAGCUUCAAUAUUGAAUUGCUUUCGAUUCCGGUUUUUGCAACUCCUGGCCAUGCAACGUCGAGGAGCUUGCCAUUUAUAUGAUGUCUGAUUCUUCUGCUGCCUUCAAAACUCAAGUGCUUAUGACCAACGACUCCGGUGAGGCAGCUGAAAGGACUGCCACUCGUGGGAAUGACGGUGGCUCGAUGGAGAUUUCGUGGGGUUUUGAUUUGGACAAGGGGCGUAGAGCUGCAAUGGAAGAUGCCAUUGCCAUUGCUCCACACUUCCUGCCCCCUGUAGGAGGAUGGAAAGAUGGCGGCUCGUCCAAGGAAGAGGAUUCUCCGGUUCAUUAUUUUGGCUUGUUCGAUGGUCACGGAGGUUCUCAGGUGAGUACAUAUUGUUCAAAGAAGUUCCACGAAUUACUAGCAGAAGAGUGGGUUAGAGGAGGUGGUUCUGACAACAGUCAGAAUGGGCGGUGGGAAAAGGCACUGACAAGGUCUUAUGAGAGGGUAGAUGAUGCCUUCAAGGACAAAACUCUUGCACCAUAUUCGGCUGGAUCGACAGCUUUGAUUGUUCUUCUGUCAGCAUGUCAGAUAAUUGUUGCCAAUUGUGGUGAUUCUAGAGCUUUGCUUUGUCGUGGGAGUAAAGCCAUCCCACUGACGGCUGACCACAAGAUUAGUAGGCCUGAUGAAUAUGAUAGACUUGUUAAGGGAGGAGCAAGAAUCCUGUUUCUGGGCUGCCCUAGGGUCGAAGGAGUACUGUCUAUGACUAGAGCAAUAGGUGAUCAUUACUUAAAACCAUGGGUUAUAUCUGAACCAGAGGUUACAUUUAUGUCAAGGACUGAAGAAGACGAGUGUUUGAUUUUGGCAAGUGAUGGAGUAUGGGAUGUCUUGUCUAAUGAUGAUGUGAUGAAGAUGGCUUGCAGCAUACUGAGGAGGAAACGCAGGAAGUUGGCGUUAGGAGGAAUUCAUAAUGCAAUUUGUCCGGCACAAUAUGUUGCAAAUAAAAUCCGCAAGGUAGCCAGUCAUUUGAGUGGUGACAAUAUCUCAGUCAUUGUAGUUGACCUGAAGCACCAAAUGAAGGAGCUGCAACAUAAGGGGUGAAAGCAGUAUCACCAUACAGGUUGGCUGGGCAGAAGCACGGUUACUACGAGGACUCGUAUGGGCUUAUUUGGAUAACACUUUGGUGAAUGGAGCAAAAGCUACACAUAGUGGAGAUGCUGCUUCCAAUAAUUUCAUAUUUCCAAGGAACGGAUUCUUAUGAGGAUGAACAGAAUUGAUGCUGCAACAGAAGGAAUAUCUGCGUAAAGCUCAUUGAGAAAAGCAACCGUAAAGGGAUGAUUUGGGAUAGUAUCUUGGAGUGCAUGAAGAGGUGUUGUUUCAUCCUCCCUUCCAAGAUAGGGAUAGCUCAUUAGUGUGCAAAUGUUUAACUUGGGAGAAAUAGGAAAGUGUUCAGAUGUGGGGAUAGUUCUUGGAGGUAUGUGCCUUACUUAGGCUCAGUGUUGUUCGGUAUUUGGUAUUUGUAACUCAGAAGUUUACCGAUUAUCCUUUCUCACCAUUGUUAUUAAUUGGACUGAUUAUCUUUUAUAUCUUACUCUUAUUUACUAGUUUUAUUUUGGUAAGUUUUGUAAUGAUCUUU